rnacentral:lncRNA from 1 species
AUGAGAGAGCUCUGUUCCUCCACGUGUCCUCGGAGCCUGCCAGCCUCGAGUGGAGCGAUGCUCUUCAGCACGUCGGGCUCAUUGUCUGUCUGCGCUUCUGCCUUCCAUCAGUGCCGUGUCAGCAGCAUGCUGAGAUGCCGGAAUGACGGCUGCAUGGUCUCUCACAAGUUUUGCCUGGUCACUGAAAUGCACACCGCCAAUCUUUUAGGAAGGCGGCCCAAGGUCAGCAGGAGAAAAACCGAACAAGACCCUACAGCGCGCUCCAUCGAGAGUGGAGUGGAUUGGGAAAUGAGUGAAAAAAGAGCAGGAGAUGAAAGCCAGAGAGUGAGGA